UACCGAUAUUUAUAAUGCCAAGAAAGAGUGUACGUCAUCUCCAAAAGGGGAGAUGACGCUCAAAAGCAAAAAUUGCCCUACAUGAAAUUCAUUGAUAUAGAAAAACACUAUAUGCCUGGAUUGCUAGGCUAACACAUAUUGUUAAGGUCAAAAUUGCGCUUUUCAAUAUUCAUAUUUAUGUUUUUGUUGAUUGAGUGGUAUUUUACCUUACCUUAACUAUUUGUAUCGAUAAAAUAUUUUGUCCAUGUGGUCACAUGCGGUAAGAUAGAAAAAAAGCAAUAAUCUUUAGCAAAUAGUUACAAGUCUUGAUAGUUAAAAAUGAAGCAAGAAAUAAGCAGGAAAGUAGGAAGACGAAGGCCUUAGGGCCGGGGCUUAUCAGAAGAUUUUCUACCAACAGAAAAAUAAUUUUAUAAUUGUGAUCUUGUAAGUUUUUCGAGCAUUGUAGUUUACAAUCAUUAUGUUUAAGAAAUGUUUAAAUAAUAGUCACAUAAAUCAUGUGACUAUGAAUUGAUUAGUGAUACAUUAAUGAGAUCAGUAGGAAUUUGUCAAUUGAUUGCAAAAGAGUUAGCAAAAGACAACAUGUGCAACAUGGUAAAUAUGGCAUGCAAUUUGUAAAUUUUUUCAUGCAUGCUUUCAAUCUCAAUAUUCUUGUGUUUCUAUGAAACAUGUCGAAGGCCUACUGCAUGUUCAUCAUCACCUCAGUCUUUGCUUCACAGUUCCAUGAAGAAAGCUUUAGGGAUUGGAUGUAUUUCUUUUGCCGUCAAUAGAAGUAGCACAAGAUGCAGAAGACACUUCAUGCUUAAACUUUCACUCACGCCGUAUAGAAAAAGAGUUUAUAUAAAGAAAAAGACACAAUACUAUUUUUUUAAUGUGCUCGCUUUAAAUGUUUGCCUUUAUAGUUUUCCGUUAUCGUGUGAUGUUAAAAUGUCACAUUAUUUCGCAAAUACUUUAUUCGAAUAAACGUUGAAGCCAGAAAAAUGUAAUACGGAUGACUAUAAAUUAUUGUCAGGAAAAUUUUGAUGUCAUGUUAGCGCCUUCUCCCCUGCCAAAAAAAGUCAAAUAUGGUUUAGAUGAAAAAUAUAUCUUUUACAUAUUUAAGUUAAGGGCAUCUGCUCUCAUCUGACAGCAUUAUUGAAAUAAUUAGCAAACGAAAAGGCCACAAAAAGACCAAAUACUGCACGCCUUUCGAGUAGAAACGGCCCGACGCUUCCCCUUCAGCUCAUAAUUGGGAGUGAUGCAACACUCCCAGCACCUCGUAUGCCUACGGAAGGACAGUUUUUGUAAAAUAGUGCAUUUUAAUAAUCUUAUAAACAAUAAUAAAAUUAGAUAGAGAUAGUUUGAAUGAAAAUAGAAAAUAGGAAUGGUCGUACAUAUUAAUUAAUAUUUUCUCUUACUACUUACGACUUGUGUUCACAUAAAGCAAUUUUACGUAUGUAUUUAAUUCGAGAAUCACAUAAAAGUAGCCAAUUUUAAA